rnacentral:rRNA from 1 species
GUGUCAGCAGCCGCGGUAAUACGAAGGGGGCUAGCGUUGUUCGGAAUUACUGGGCGUAAAGGGCGCGUAGGCGGUGCGCUAAGUCAGGCGUGAAAGCCCUGGGCUCAACCCGGGAAUUGCGCUUGAUACUGGCGUGCUCGAAUCCGGGAGAGGUUGGUGGAAUUCCCAGUGUAGAGGUGAAAUUCGUAGAUAUUGGGAAGAACACCGGUGGCGAAGGCGGCUCUCUGGACCGGAUCUGACGCUGAGGCGCGAAAGCGUGGGGAGCAAACAGGAUUAGAAACCCUAGUAGUCC